rnacentral:rRNA from 1 species
GAUGAACGCUGGCGGCGUGCCUAAUACAUGCAAGUCGAGCGAACAGACGAGGAGCUUGCUCCUCUGACGUUAGCGGCGGACGGGUGAGUAACACGUGGAUAACCUACCUAUAAGACUGGGAUAACUUCGGGAAACCGGAGCUAAUACCGGAUAAUAUAUUGAACCGCAUGGUUCAAUAGUGAAAGACGGUUUUGCUGUCACUUAUAGAUGGAUCCGCGCCGCAUUAGCUAGUUGUUAAGGUAACGGCUUACCAAGGCAACGAUGCGUAGCCGACCUGAGAGGGUGAUCGGCCACACUGGAACUGAGGCACGGUCCAGACUCCUACGGGAGGCAGCAGUAGGGAAUCUUCCGCAAUGGGCGAAAGCUUGACGGAGCAACGCCGCGUGAGUGAUGAAGGUCUUCGGAUCGUAAAACUCUGUUAUUAGGGAAGAACAAAUGUGUAAGUAACUAUGCACGUCUUGACGGUACCUAAUCAGAAAGCCACGGCUAACUACGUG